UUUGAACUUCUGAAGAACCCAAUCUCUUGUAUAUGAUACUGCUCUAGUCUUCCACAACGCAUUAAACAAUUGAUGAGACAGCCUUAUGGGCAAGAGAAAUUGUUGACAGAUACCCAACUCAGAAUGAGGAAUCCACAUCAGGUGAACAGCAGUUGGAAUGCCACAGGCAUGCAUUUUCAUCUCAUAUUUAGAACAAAGGGUGUGCUUUACCACAAUGAUAUUUGUCUUGCAAAGUAAUACUUUGCAAGGAAGCUCGGGAGCCCAAUUAUCGGCCCAGGACGAUAAGAUGAGUAUGAUCUUUCGGGCCUUGCAUAUGUUCGGCCUUCAAAUCCCGAUGCGCUGAUCUUGCUCCACCUUCGACCUCCUAGCCACUUUGUGUAGCCAAUAUCUAGCAUCAUGAUGAAUCAAACCUAGAAGGCUCCUUGUAGUUCUUUUCUUUUAUGUUCAGACAUCAACAUUUUCAUAUAUUUUAUAAUUAAAUACAUUUUCUUGGUUUA